UUUCUAGACUGACUUCAAUAUCUUCAGUGACGUCAAGGAGCGAUGAUGACUCCCUGGGAUCGCAGGGAGCCAGAAGAUAUCCACGACGCUUCAUGAAACGGAAGAAUGAUGAGCAUCAGACCCCAGCGGGAAAGAGACGCCCGGACUUAACCCCAAAUACUAAACAGUAAAGGACGUGCAUUUAUUUGCGCGGAAACUGAUUUUUAAGAAAAUAUUUAAACAGAGAGAGGACCCCAAUUUCCCAUCAUGGAUGAAACAGGAGGCUUUAUUAUUACUUGUUGAGCUACUUGAUGAGCAGGAAGCAGAUAACCAAAUGGAUACGACUGAUGUACUUUGGAAAGUCGAGGGUCUGCAUCUAGAAUCGGAUAUGUUGCUGGCCACCUGUGAUGUGGAGUCACUGUAUACUUCCAUCAAACACGAAGACGGAUUACAAGCGACCGACUUUUAUCUACGGACUUCCAAUAUACCUACAAAAAAAUCAUCUCUUUCUCUCGUUUUUUGAACCAGGAUCAUCACAGAACCACCAG